GAUGAAGAACGUAGCGAAAUGCGAUAAGUAGUGUGAAUUGCAGAAUUCAGUGAAUCAUCGAAUCUUUGAACGCACAUUGCGCCCCUUGGUAUUCCAUGGGGCAUGCCUGUUCGAGCGUCAUUUGUACCUUCAAGCUUUGCUUGGUGUUGGGUGUUUGUCUCGCCUUUGCGUGUAGACUCGCCUUAAAAUAAUUGGCAGCCGGCGUAUUGAUUUCGGAGCGCAGUACAUGUCGCGCUUUGCACUCAUAACGACAGCGUCCAAAAGUACAUUUUACACUCUUGACCUCGGAUCAGGUAGGGAUACCCGCUGAACUUAAGCAUAUCAAUAAGCGGAGGA
rnacentral:misc_RNA from 1 species